CCGCCAGUUCCAGUACAGCCCGCCGGUGCCUCACCCCCUGUUCCACGGCUACGAGGACUGGCAGCAGAUCCGGUACCCGCCACCCGCCCAGCACAGCCCCAUCCAGAACUUCCGCCACUUCCCUCCUCCAGAAUAUGCCUGGCGUCUGCCCCCCUGCACAGUGUCCCGAAUCCAGAACCCCCCGGCAGUGGAUGGGGUGAAACCAUCAGCUAAGGAUGCAGAACCUGCAGGCCCGGGGGCACCCAAAUCCCCCAGGCCGGUAUAGCUGCCGGCUGACAGCAGAGGAGCUGCGGUGAGCCAUGUGUGUGCCUGUGUAUAUACAGACCCCUCCUGCUGCUCACCCCCUCGCGUCUGCUCCGGUGCAUCCCGCACACUCAGCUCGACAUGUCCCGGAGGAGCUCCGGGUGGAGGCAGCACCGUGCCGUGCCCCCAGGCUGCGAGGAGCAGCUGGUGCCUGGCAUGCUGUGCCAAGGGGGGAGGCAGGCAGGGCUGAAUGCCACGCUUUUGUCCCCAGCCCUGCAGCCCUGGGGGUUCACCUCCAGCCCUCAUAGCUCGCUGCUGGGAGCCUCCAUGUUGCAGGAGCCUGUGUCCCUUGGGUGACUGCAGCAUAACGCGGUCCCUGGCCUUUCACGUGUGUGGCUGUGGGCAGAGCCGCUGUCCCGCGGUGAUGGACAGCGAUGACACUACCCUGGUAGUGAUGGACAGCGCUCAUUAGGAGUGAGCCUGGACAAGCCCAGAGCGGGCCGGGCGCUGGCUGUAGGUGAGGCGUCUUUGCCUCUUGGGAGAGGCAAAGCGGGAGCCCAGCUGCCCCCGUGUUGGUUCUUUGGGGUGUCUCCCACCUCCCUUCCCCUGAAACAUGCUCGCCUUUUAACCUGCCCCAAAUCUGACAGAGUCUCCUGGCCUGCCUCUAGCCCUGCCAGGGUGCUCUGCCCUGCAGCCGGCCCUUGGCACAGGUCUGUUUUGUACAAACCUGUCACCGUGCGUGUGCAUUUCUUGGACGUGUCCCCUCCCCUAAUAAAGUUGAGAGACUUUCUACCUGCUCCGCUUGGGUUUGCUGCGUCUCCCGGGGUCUCCUCCAGCUGGGGCAAUGCAGGACACUGGGCUCAUGUCCUACCACAUAGGGGUUGCUUUCCUCCUCUGUUAACCCAUGCUGGGGUGGCUUGUAUGCCAUGCUGCUCUCAGAUUGCACC